CCCGAGACCCGAGGGGCGCGCCCCGGGCCGCAGCGCACGUCUCGGCCCUCUGCCUGCUUCCCAACGCUCCGCCCGGCAGAGGCGGCAGAACCAUUGUUCCACGGCUCGGAGCUCACAUUCCCCAGUCACUGUCAACGGGGAGAAAGAACGAGGCAAAGCAGUGGCUUUGGGGGAAGGGGUGUGAGGGAAUGAAGACUAGUUCAGCCAACCCACCACCCACCUCCCCGGGCUGCAGCAGCGGUGCAAGCCGAGCCUGCGGGCAGAAAAUAAUGCAGGCGCUGCAGAGGAGAGGAGAGGAGAGGGGGGGUGGGGAGCGAGAGCAGAGGAGAAGACAGAAGCGAGAGGAGCCGGCUGCGGAGCACCCACACUGGCGGCGGCUGGAGCGCGGGGUGAGCAGCCGGGAGGGGGGAGGAGGGGGAGUGGUCAGCUGGGGGGUGGGGGGAGCGCGGCGGCUCCAGCCCUCCUUCCCCUCUACGCGCUCUUCUUUCUCGCGCCGGGCAGCCUGGUGCCUGCGCCGGGGGUGUGCGAGUGUGAGCGUGCGUGAGUGGCAGUGGCCGUGGCCGCCGCCGCCCGGACUGCUCCAGGGGCCCGGCAGCUCCGCGCGUCCGCCCGAGGCGCACGGGGGCCCGGGGCGGCCGCUGGUUGGCUCACGCACCGCCCUCGCCUCCAAUCCCCGGUGCCUGUCCUAAUUUCCUGAUCCAGGGAACCUGCCGCCGCGGCAGCUGUGCGCUCCCUACAGUCAUUACUGUACCCUCCCGGCAGCGCCAACAGUAAAUGCAGCCGCAGCAGUUAGCGCUGAUGCAACUAUCGCGGCUGUUGCCACCGCCUCCCCGCUAACGGGGCUCGCAGCUGGGGGGCACUUGCAGCUCCCGGGCAACAAGCAUCUCUCUACCACCCUCUCCUGCGCCCCUAAGAGAGGCUGCUUCUUGAUAUGAUGGAUUACAAUAAUUGAUUUUGGAAUGUUAAACCAGCCUUGCAUACCUGGGAUCACUCCCGCUUGGUCAUGGCCCCCUGGUUGAUACAGAAGACUAUCAUAGGAAUCACAGAGGGCAACCGAAACCAAAGAAAUGACUCCAGCAUUUAGUCAAAGGCAUGCCUGCCUCAAGGGACAAGGAGGAACAGGAACCUCAACAAACAGGGCAAGAGAGAAGCCACAAGAGGACAGGUGGCAGCAUGAGAAAUGUUUCAUUCCCUGUUGUGGUCAUUAGCAUGUGGGGCUUGUGACACACAGAGCCCCAAUUUAAGGAUCUUGUGUUAUAAUUUUUCAAAGACUGUGCAGCAGGUGUACCAGCCAUAGAACUAACACAAAUACAUUGUGAUUUCUAAAGUAUUAUAUACUUUGGAGAUUAGAGGCUUGGGGAUCCUUCUGCUGAGUUUCUUGAGGAAACAUUCCCGAGAGUCAGCAGCAACGCUAAGGCUGAGGCAGCCUGCAAGAGGUAAGAUUCGUCAUCUUUGGGUAGCAGGGUCACCUUGAGAUUUAGCCUCCGGCCCAGUCUAGAGCAGAUCACCUGGAACUGAAAUUUUUAAACACAAGAAUAGGGAGUAUAGUAAUUACCAUGAAGGACAAUGUGGACUAAUGUCUCUCUUUGCUCAAGAGAUGAAGUGAAUUUAAAGGGGUGGGGAGAACACUGUGGCUGGAUGAUAUUUUCAAUAUAUCGAUUGACUUUCCCCCUCUGGCAGCUCCUGUUGCCUCUACCUCUCCCCCUCACUCCAUUCAGGCAUACUUUGUUGUAUUAGGAAAAAAGAAGUUUCACCAGAGGGCAAGAAGAAAAGGCUUUUGAUUUUCACAAGUCAAGACUCGGAGGGCACUUGGCAUGGAAACCCUAGCCUGAGUUGGAGCAAGCUUGUAGCCCCUGGUGGGACCUGAAGUUUUCCAGGUGUGUCUGUGGGGCAGGGAAGGAAGGGAGCUGUUAUAUGCCUGUUAGGAGCUGAGGAGGAGGGGAGGGAAGGGGGAGGAGAGGGAUGCAGAGAGAGCUCUUAGGCAGGGGUAGCCCCUCUGUCCUGUGAGAGAGGGACUCCACACCCUGGUCCCCAGAAGUAAAGGCGGUGGAUGGCAGAAGCUGAAGAUGGGCUGGGGUUGCUGUCACUUCCAAGUAGAGCCCAAGGAGACUGCAAAAUCCCGGAACAGAAAUGGUUGAGUGGUGUCCAGGGGACAGAUGAGCCAGCCUCGAGGACUUGAGUGCACCCCAGCACCACUUGGGCUUGGCAACGGCUGAGAGGAAGUGUGCCACACCUGAAGGAGUCUUGUGUUGGGGAACAGCUGGACAGCAAAGACCCAUGAGGAACAAGAACAUCUCAGCCAAGAGUGGUGCAGACACAACAUCACACAGAGAAUGGGAUGACCUCCCGAGCCCUGUUGCCCUGCUACAAUGUGAGCCGCCUGGAACCCAGAGGAAAGACCUCUUCUUUAGGCCCAGAAGGAAAAGAAAUUCACAGGAGACAAUCAGUCUUAGACUCUUCCUUGGUUAUGAAAAAGAGGCUCUUAGAUCUAAGAGAUCAUCUUGCCCCUGAAAUGGCCCCAGAAAGCUAUGGCCAGAGAAUAAUGAAGGGGAUUUUCUCGUGGCCUCAGACCAGUAACUAUUUCGGACAUUGGAAUGUUGGAAAAGGAAAAUCUCAGCCUUUGUUUCCUGCCUGUGCUCUCACCGUGCCUAGUCACCAUGAUGUCCUUCACAUGAAUCAUGGCAAAAUGCCAUUUCUCCUCUGCAGGUAGUCCUAAAGAGUGGAUGAUCCGCCUAAAAUUGCUCUCUAGAGGACAGGACCAAUGAAUGAGAAUCACAGAGGAACAUGAUCUGAUUCAUCAAGCCCAAGGAGUGUAUAUGUGGCUGCAUUCAAACUCAUUUACCUGUCAAUGGACUUCAGGAUAUUUAGUAGGACAUGCAAGAUUAGGUAAAAGAGGAGUAACAACAGGAGACCCCAUUUAUGUGUAUUUUUGUGAGGAAUACAAGGCUUCUCUUGACUUCUUUGCAUUUUCCUAGAGCCUUUGAUUUUGGAAAUGCCAUCAGAAUGAUGGUUACAUUUUCGGUGGUAGAAAUUAUUGAUGUGUCUCAGAAACAAGGAAUCACAGAAUAUCUACUUUCCAGCAGUGAUGUAUGACUAUUGCAAAGGCCACAUCAUUAUUUAUAAUAUCCUAAGGAUAUUUUUAUGCAAACAGAUACUUCUAACAUUUUCUGCAAUUUCAAAAAAGAAAUAAAGAAAGAAAAAAGAAUUUAAGCAAAUACCCAUCUGUUAGUCCAGUGUUGGAAGUGACCAGCCUUAAAGUAUAAUUGGAGAAUCAGCCAAUACCAAUACUGCUAUUCCUCAUCUCCUUGUGUCCAGCCUGACCCAACAGAAUUUCUUGGACUCCACAAAAAGUUAAUUGAAAAGAUAAAUCUGCUUUGAAAACCAUUUGUAUUUUAAGCAGAGAUGGAAUUUGGGGAAGUGCCAUGUAGCCAUCUAUUAUUCUAUAAAUUGUGAUUAUUGUCAGUGACCUGAAACCUGGAGCAGAUUAUAAUGAUUAAAUAACAUCCACAGUUUUGCUCUUCAGGACUUCCUGUGACCCUCACCUGAUCAUCCCAACACUGCCUGGCCCCUUUAAGCCUAAGUUGCUCUUAUUUAUCUGGGUAGGUGGUUAAUUUUGGAGGCAGCCAUCUUGCAGGUAUUAUUUUCUUCCUCGGUAGACUACAAAGCAUAGAUGGCUGUCCUUUUUCUAAAAAGGAAUGAGGGGGAGAAAAAUGAUACUUUUUUGGUUAUAGGGUUUAAAUAUAUUGUUAGCAUGAUCAGUUGACCAUUGGAGAACUGUGCCUCCCAGUGAAUUGCAUGUCUAUAAACAAAGAUACAAUAGCUGCAUUUUGGAAGCAUGCACAUUCAUAAAACUGGUAGGUCACAUUCAUUGCAAGAGUGCAUCAGCUGGAAUACUGUCUGAGCCUGUGAUUAGGACAUUUAUUUAUUUCACAAAUGUUUAUUGAAAGCCUUCCAGGUACUGUGCAUGGUGUUAGGUGCUGGAGAUGUGUUACUAAGCAAGGCAAACAUGCUUCUUGCUGCUAAAUGUUUCACAACUGGCUUUCCAGAAAUGAAAACUCUGAUUUUUAGUAUUUGCCAAUUUCUGUGGUGUAAAUUCUCCCACCAGAGCCAAUUGCAAGCCAUCAGUGUUAUCCGGUGUGAGGAGGUAUGGGCACAAUCGGCAACUGUGAGCCAGUGUGAGCUGGCUUUGGCACACCACUGGUCCUUGCUGGCCAAGAGCUUAUAGUCAAGUUGGGGACACAUACAUUUAAAAUAUUAUAACUUCAAACUAUGAUAAGGGCUGUGAAGAAGGGGAAUAUCUCAUCAUGAUAGAAUAUAAUAAAGGAAUUAUAAGCUAGAUUGCAGCAUUACUGGAAGUACUCCCAAGGAACUGAUACUUAAGCUGAGAGCUAAAAGUGCAAAAGGAGAUUACUAAAUUAAGAGGAGAGCAUUUCAGACAGAUGUUAUAGCUCAUUGCAAGGGCUUUAUGGUGGGAGGGAACUUGCUGUUUUUGAAGAAAGUAAGAGAAGGCUUUGUGGCUAAAAAGUGAGAGGAAGAAGAACAUGUGGUGAGUUUGAAGUGGUAGGAUGAACCAUGGUUGGCUUAUAAACUAUGAUAAGAAUGUGGAUCUUUAUCUUAAAGUCAGGGGUUAUCCGUUGAAGAGUUUUAAGCCUGGGAUGGAAUGCCUUUGGAAAAGAUCACUCUAGCUAUAGCACAGAGAAUGGAUUGGACUUGACCUGGAUGGAAUGCUGGGAGGCAAUCAGGAGUCUAUUACCUAGUCCAUGGAAGAGAUGCUCGUAAAUUGAACUAGGGUGUUGGCAGUAAAAGUGGAAAGAAGUGGAGAGAGUCCAGAGAUAUUUAUGGCUAUGAAUUGAGGUGAGUUAAUAAGGGUUAGUGCCCAAUAUAUUACCAGGUCUGUCUGGGGUUUGAACAACUGGUGCAAACAGUGGUGUCUCACUUUCUCUGAGAGUGGUGUCAGAGAAAAAAGUAUGAGAACACCAUUUUGUAUAUCUGUGUGUGCACACAGGCAAAGAGGAAUCAUAAUUCUUGGGCAUGAUGAGUUUGAAGCAUCUUCGAGACAUCUCAACGGAUGUGUCAAGUUGGUUGGGCCUAGAACUCAGAAUGAAGGUUUGGCAUAAACUCUGCAUUCUUGAGUGAUUUGCAUAUGGAUGGAUUUUGAGGAAUCUUUUGUCAUUAACCCUGCUGUUUAGGUAGCAGACAUCUUUUUCUCACUUAUUGGACCAUUUAAACUGUCUUUUCUGGGGGUCUUUUUCAUUUGUAUAAGGGGAUAGUAAUGCGUCUUGCCAUCUUCAACAACAUUUGGGGAGUAUUGAAUUUAUUUUGAGUUAUUUUUUCCUUAAAUAUUUGUAUGCACUUUAAUAGGCAGUGUAUUAAAUGAAAUAACACAUGUAAAGUGGUUAACAUAGUGCCUGGCACAUAGUAAGAACUCAGAAAAUGGCACUUUUAUCAUUAUUAUCAUCAUCUUCAUGUUUUGAUCACAGUUCCCUAAUUUUCAUUAUCAAUAGGCUUGCUUUAACAACAUAUUGGAAAGGGACUCAUGAUCUUUAGGGGAAGAUGUCUAAGGUAUGUAGACAUCAGGGGGAGUGUGUGUGUAUGUAUGUAUGCAUGUGUGUAUGUGUGUAAAGGUGUAGGGAAGUAGAGAAGGUUCUGAAAGGAGAAGAUACACCAGCUUUGAUAUAGUUACUUCUGAAAUAUGUGAGAUUAGGGGGGAGUUAGACAACAAACAAGAGGUUUUUUUUCACUAAAAAUAUGUAAAAUUUGAAUUUUGAUGACCAUGUAUUUCUUUUAUAGUUUUUAAAAAAGGAUUCACCUUGCCCAAGUUUAAAAAGCAUAUUUUUCACAUGACAAUGGCCAAACAGUGACCAAAUGUAUAAUGGAUACAAAGCAGUUAUUAUGAGAGAGUCAGAUACUGUAAUAUAUGAAUCAUUGCAGAGGGAAUCACUGCUAAAUGGUUGUUAAAUUGUUUUCCUGGCUAAAAGCAACUACAAUGGUUGACAGAAUCAAGGCACUGUAUUCCAGUUGCUACAUAACAAACCACCCAAAACAGUAGCUUAAAAUAACCAGAGCAUUUACUUUGCUCAUAGACUUGCAAUUUGGCUGGGGCAUGAUGGGGACAUUUUGCCUCUGCCCUAUGUUACAUCAGGUGGGGUGACCAUCUGCAGGAGCAGUCACGUGUCUGGCGGUUGAUGCUGGCUGGACCCCAUGGAGCUGUGGCUGGAACAUCUACAUGUGGCCCUUCCACGGCUGCUGGUCUUCCUCACACUCACCUCAUACAUGUGGCUGGGUUCCAAAGGCAGCUGUCCCAAGAGGGAGCCAGGUGGAAGUUGUAUCAACUUUUAUGACUUAUUCUUGGAAGUCACACAAUAUCGCUUCCUCUAUAUUCUCUUAGUAAAAGGUAGUCACAAUGCAUCACCUACGUUCAAGGAGAGAAAAAUAGAUUCUACCUCUUGAAGGGUGAGUAACAAAUUCUACAAGAGCAUGUGGGAUCGGAAAUAUUAAUGUGGCCAUUUUUGGAAAAUACGACUUCCCACAGUAAGUCCCCUCCUUUCCAAUGUCACCUGUGCCACAAAUCUGCAGUGCACAUAUGGAAAAUUAGCCAGAGUCUCUCAGUUGCCACAGCUGGACGUGAGAAUUGCAACUCUAUUCCAAAACCACAAUCAUGCAUGUGAGAGCUAUAUUUUGACAUGAGAAACCAAAGACUUUUAGUAUUGCAGUGUUGUCUUUCCCAUGCUUAGCAAAAGUAUGAGUUUUAAAUUAAUUUUCCAGUGUACAGUCAGAUUUAUCUUGACCUAAAAGACAAAUUGACACAUUCUAGGGAUGGUGAAAAUCCACCUUAGCUUGGUCUGACCCAAGAAGCUAGUGGGUUUAUAUUAUUUGUUUUUGUUUCUAAACUGACUCCUGAAAUGCAACAAGAGAUAGAGCACAGAAAGGAAAUUCAUGAAAAUGAAUGUUUGCAAUAAAAUUUCAAGUAGUUCUCUUCAGUGCACAUCAGUAUCCUUCUUAUCUACCAGCCACACGUUAUACCAGGCUGUGCGAAACUUAUGUGUUAUUUGAGAGUGGGAUGCAUUUCUCAUAUUAUUUAUUUAUUAGAGUUUGAGUCAAUUCAUUCAUCUCUAUCCCCAAUGCCCUUGGUUUCAACUGGGGCAUGUGUGCAUAGACCGCUAUUAACAGGAGACUAAUCACCCUGUAUUUAUCGAUUACCCAUAGAGUAGUGCUUAAAGGAUUGUCAGAAAAAUCCAAUUAAUUGAGUCCACUAGAUUAGAAUUUCCUUUUCUUUUAUGAUGUGAAUUGUUAGCCCCAAACAAGCUGUAAAUUGCAUUUGCAAAGAUUCUAUUUUUUAAAUUUUUAUUUCUUUACUUUUUUAGAGACAGAGUCUUGCUCUGUCACCCA